GGUUCGAUGGCGUAGUUGGUUAUCACAUCUGUCUAACACACAGAAGGUCCCCGGUUCGAGCCCGGGUCGAAUCA
rnacentral:tRNA from 1 species